rnacentral:lncRNA from 1 species
UUUUAUACAUCUAUUACUAUCAGAAUUAAUCCUUGCAAGUAAUGAGCUCGAACCCGCUUGCCAGUGUUGGUUUCAAGUGUUUGCUUUUGUCUGUGUAGUUACCGAAGACGGGAAUUGGCAUGGUUCUCUUAUUGGUUUGAUAACCUUCAUUCUCGCCGAGGCAAAUACUUAUCAACGACUGUAUUGCUUAACCAUUCCUCUUUGGGGAAAACCCCAACACAACUCACAAGUAGCAGCAGUCACUCCCUUGAGACUCCUCAUGACUAGUUUCCCACCACUCCUAAGUGACUUCCUCCAAUGAUGCCACUAUCCUAUGGUGCCCAUGUAUACCUUACAUGAACUGGAAAAUGGUGAUUUUGAGAAAGAGUUCUACACAAAGGUGUUUGUGCCUACCAAGACCUCACCCCAGGGAUGAUCAUUCAUUGCACUUCCCAUGCCAACGAGAGAUACGACCAUCCAGUAGGUGGCCUAUGAAGAGUUUCUCCAUCUACGAGACCUCCUUACAGAAAUGAAGGAAGAAAAGCUACCCGCUACCUACCACGAAGGAGCGGAUUUGGUGCCCUAGUGAAGAGAUGAUUCCCCCAGAAGACAAG